AGCGAACGCUGGCGGCAGGCCUAACACAUGCAAGUCGAACGAACCUUUCGGGGUUAGUGGCGGACGGGUGAGUAACACGUGGGAACGUGCCUUUAGGUUCGGAAUAACUCAGGGAAACUUGUGCUAAUACCGAAUGUGCCCUUCGGGGGAAAGAUUAAUCGCCUUUAGAGCGGCCCGCGUCUGAUUAGCUAGUUGGUUGAGGUAAUGGCUCACCAAGGCGACGAUCAGUAGCUGGUCUGAGAGGAUGAUCAGCCACAUUGGGACUGAGACACGGCCCAAACCCCGAGGGGAGGAGGCAGUGGGGAAUCUUGCGCAAUGGGAGAAAGCCUGACGCAGCCAUGCCGGGUGAAUGAAGAAGGUUUAAGGAUUGAAAAAUUCUUCCCCCGGGGAGGAUAAUGAGGGUACCCGGAAAAGAGGCCCGGGCAACGUUGGUG
rnacentral:rRNA from 1 species